GACGACGGCGACGGCGACGAUGAUAAGGACAACAACAACGGUAAUGAUGAGAACAACGAUAACGAUAACAAGGACGACGACAACGACAACAAUGAAACAAACGACAACAACAACAACAACAAAAACAACGGCAACAACAACAACAAAGACGACCACGACGACGAGAUGACAACAAUAACAACAACGACAACAACAACAACAACAACAACAACAACAACAACAACAACAAGAAGAACAACAAGAACAACAAUAAUAGCAAAAACAACAACCACGACAACAACAACAACAACAACAACAACAAAGACAACAACAACAACAAUAACAGCGUCAACAACAACAAAAA
rnacentral:lncRNA from 1 species